CAUUAGCGGGGGACAACGUGUGGAAACGCACGCUAAUACCGCAUACGCCCUACGGGGGAAAGCAGGGGACUCUUUGAGCCUUGCACUAAUGGAUGAGCCUAGGUCAGAUUAGCUAGUUGGUGGGGUAAAGGCCUACCAAGGCGACGAUCUGUAGCGGGUCUGAGAGGAUGAUCCGCCACACUGGAACUGAGACACGGUCCAGACUCCUACGGGAGGCAGCAGUGGGGAAUAUUGGACAAUGGGCGCAAGCCUGAUCCAGCCAUGCCGCGUGUGUGAAGAAGGCCUUUUGGUUGUAAAGCACUUUAAGCGAGGAGGAGGCUACUGGUACUAAUAUUACCAGCUAGUGGACGUUACUCGCAGAAUAAGCACCGGCUAACUCUGGGCCAGCAGCCGCGGUAAU
rnacentral:rRNA from 1 species